ACGGGGUGGAGUAACGCGUGGGUAACCGUGCCUUGUACAGGGGGAGAACAGUUGGAAACGGCUGCUAAUACCGCAUAAGCGCACAGCAUCGCAUGAUGCAGUGUGAAAAACUCCGGUGGUAUAAGAUGGACCCGCGUUGGAUUAGCUAGUUGGUGAGGUAACGGCCCACCAAGGCAACGAUCCAUAGCCGACCUGAGAGGGUGACCGGCCACAUUGGGACUGAGACACGGCCCAA
rnacentral:rRNA from 1 species